GUGUCAGCAGCCGCGGUAAUACGUAGGGUGCGAGCGUUGUUCGGAGUUAUUGGGCGUAAAGGGCGUGUAGGCGGCUUGAGAAGUCUGGUUUGAAAUGCACUGGCUCAACUGGUGCGCUGGGUCAGAAACUGGCAGGCUAGAGUUCAUGGGGAGGAGCCGGAAUUCCAGGUGUAGGGGUGAAAUCUGUAGAGAUCUGGAAGAACACCGGUAGCGAAGGCGGGCUCCUAUGGAUGGACUGACGCUGAGGCGCGAAAGCGUGGGGAGCAAACAGGAUUAGAUACCCUGGUAGUCCACGCUGUAAACGAUGUGCACUAGGUAUGGGGUACGAGAGGUAUUCCGUGCCGGAGCGAACGCGUUAAGUGCACCGCCUGGGGAGUAUGCUCGCAAGGGUGAAACUUAAAGGAAUUGACGGGG
rnacentral:rRNA from 1 species